ACCUCAACUGGCUCCUUUCGACGACACGUAAUGUUCGGUGAAUCGGAAAAUUGCGGAACAUUUAUGUACCUAUUUUUCGGAUUUCUACUACGUAAGCAACCUUCCCACGUCAAUCCUACGCACGGCGUUAUACAUGAGGCCCAUGAUCUCCUCAGCAGAGGCCUUCCUUUUGUUGGUCCUGGACUCGGCAAAGUGAAAGAAAACACAGGCAUAUCGCUUUUGUCUUCCUCUUAAAGUGUCGCACAAGGGUGACAGAGUUCAAGCUUUUAAAUUUUUAAAUAGAAAGUGAUUUAUUUUCAUUGUAUAGUGGUGUUUGCGCUAAAAAAUGAAUUUACCUUAUCUCUGACACACACUUAGAGGCUUUUCUUCUCACAAGGGCAAUAGAGAUACUGAGUCUGUAAUCACAUGAGCAUGCUUCCCAGACUGCUCUCUGCCACAGUUCUGCUCUCUUCUUCUUCGAACGCGUGUUCCCAUAUGGUGAGGGAUGAUUUUAAUAAUGAUGCUUGUCAAGAAGAUGAUGAUUGACACCUGCUUCCCCCACCCACAGAUUGCCAGAAGACAGCGAGCAGUGUGAAAGCCUUAUUCCUCUACACAGCGUCUCCCCCAGUGAAGGAAGCUUCUGCUCGUGAUCCAGCAGCCAACACAAGUGGUGAAUGUGGAUCUCUGAGCUGACAAUCUGGAUCUUUUCAGAGACAUUGAACUACCCCAGUGCCUCCUUUAAAUCUAUUUUCUACAGUGUUGAGACGUCACAAACAUUUCUACAAGCUCUUUUUGUAUUUCCAUGUUCCAGUCAUCACAGACAUGAGACUUUUCCUUUAAAAGAUUUUCACGUUAUUCCUUUGUAAAAAGAAACCUAAUGGUUCUCAAGGUGCUGGACAUUAACAGUGAUUACCAUAUUGUUAUGUGACCAAAUGAAACGGUACAUUUUAAACUUGAUCAUAACACUAACAGAGAUACAGUAACUUUGUGUGUUUUAAAAAUGUGUGAGUUCCGAGUUCACACAACAUUUUUCAGGAGCUGUUCUGUUCUGGAUGUUGUCUGUCUGUUGAAGCCUUGCUCCUUCUUUGUUAAAUAUUUGUGUGAAGCAGACACAUUUUCACAAAUGACAAUCUGUAAGACGUUGAUUCGGUUGACUUUUUGACGGAGAAAGCUUGCUUUUUUAUAUACCAGCAGUGUAAUCAACUUCAUAUGGUAGUCAUAAAAACAGCACAGUGAUGACGUCAUCUUACUCAGCCUCGGCAGCUCGGGUGAAGACCAAACCUUUCAGAGUAACCUGCAUUACUUUAGAGCUCCAGUUACACAAUCCUGAUAGAAUUCAAAAGUUUAAAGGGAAAGUUGGUAUUGUUUAAGGUGGGGCUGUAUAAGGCUCUAUCCAUAGUCAGUGUAUCACCUUCAGGAGAUGGAGGAGAAGCUGUGCAUACUGAUAGCACUGUCAUUUUUUGUCAAAUGCAGUGCAUUGCUACACUGCUCGUACUCCUGUCUGAUCUCCACACUGCGUCUACUGUAGGACAUGCACUGCCUAUGGAGAGCCAGCUCAUACAACCCCACUUCUAACUAUCCCUUUCAAAUCUGUCAGUGCAAUCCUGCGUUAUUUAACAUUUGAGUCUCUCUUUCACUGAGACAAACUGAGUCUGAUAUGAAGAAUAAUUCAAACCCACUACAGCUGAAUAAAGAAGCAACACCAGCUUCACCAGCACUUUGUUUCAGUGAUGAAUCAUGAAGACAAACUGUGAUUGAGACAUAAUCCUUGUCUUUGAAUAUGAAGUCAUGACAAGUCUUUAGCUAUAAGCUACAAAGGCCUUGCUGCAAUAACGUGUGUCUAUUGUAUGAACAGAUUCCUUUUCAUAAUGGCUGUAAAUACUGUACACAGUAGUAUCAGUUUUGUUGCAUUUCAGAUAACCACUACAGAUUCCUAUCUGAGAUUGUGUAUCAUUUGUAUAUUGUAUGUGUCAUUGUUAAUGAAUUGUACCAGAGGAAAUGUUUGCAGCCAAAUUGUUGUACUGAGAUUGUAUCACAUGGAGUGGAAGGUUGUAUAUGAUCCUUUUCUUUCUUCAGCAAAAAAAGAUGUAUUUACUGCCUGUGAUUUCAUGUGAUGAGAAACAAAUGUUUCUUUAAGCAGCCUCAGUGUGUGUCAUAGAAUCCAGGAUGUUAACACUAAACAGUUGAAGGUAAAGUGUCCAUGUUAUUCCACAUCCUGAUAGAGGUCAGAUAUUUUUCUUUUAAUGGAGUGUUUAUUGCACUCAGCGUUGACUGCACGUAUGAAGUGGCGGAAGUAAUAAGCGGUCUUUGGGGAGGAACUAACGGGACCACAUUUCUCUUGUUCAUUAUUGAAUCUGCUAUGUUUUUGCCAAUCAGUCAAGUACAAAAGCUUUUUAGGAUGAUUAGUUUGCUCAGAUGUCUGCCUUGACAUUCUUUUUUUAUUUUCAUCUUUUGUCAACGGUGCUUGUGGAAUCAUAGAUAUGAUUAGAUUUCUUUCUCCUGUUCUUCGUCUUUUUUUUCUGAGAAAUGUCUUUUUCCUUAAAGUUCAAAUGAAUGUUAUAAAAUGUAAAAGAAGGCUGUAAUAGUAGCUUCCCUUGUAUCAACCUCAACUCUUGAAGUCUGUUUUCAUACUUGCACUGCACUAUUAAACAAGUCUUUUUAAA